rnacentral:rRNA from 1 species
GACGAACGCUGGCGGCGUGCUUAACACAUGCAAGUGGAGCGACGAACCGGGGCUUGCCCCGGGGCAGAGCCGCGAACGGGUGAGUAACACGUGGGUAACCCACCCCGAUGACCGGGACAACCCGAGGAAACUCGGGCUAAUACCGGAUGUGCUCCUUGAUCUUGAGAUCAAGGCGUAAAGAUAGCUUCGGCCUUCGCAUCGGGACGGGCCCGCGGCCCAUUAGCUUGUUGGCGGGGUAAAGGCCUACCAAGGCGACGAUGGGUAGCUGGGCUGAGAGGCCGAGCAGACACACUGGGACGGAGACACGGCCCAGACUCCUACGGGAGGCAGCAGUGGGGAAUCUUGCACAAUGCGCGAAAGCAUGAUGCAGCAACGCCGCGUGGGGGAAGAAGGCCUUCGGGUUGUAAACCCCUUUCAGUUGGGACGAAGCUUCGCCGGUGAAUAGCCGGCUGGAGUGACGGUACCUUCACAAGAAGCCCCGGCUAACUACGUGCCAGCCGCCGCAGUAAUAC